UACGUAGGGUGCAAGCGUUGUCCGGAAUUAUUGGGCGUAAAGAGCUUGUAGGCGGUCUGUCGCGUCUGCUGUGAAAACUCAGGGCUUAACCCUGAGCUUGCAGUGGGUACGGGCAGACUAGAGUGCGGUAGGGGAGACUGGAAUUCCGUGGUGUAGCGGUGAAAUGCGCAGAUAUCAGGAGGAACACCGGUGGCGAAGGCGGGGUCUCUGGGCCGUAACUGACGCUGGAGGAGCGAAAGCAUGGGGAGCGAAACAGG
rnacentral:rRNA from 1 species